rnacentral:rRNA from 1 species
UACGUAGGGCGCAAGCGUUAUCCGGAAUUACUGGGCGUAAAGCGCAUGUAGGCGGCUUUGUAAGUUAGAGGUGAAAGCCCGGGGCUCAACUCCGGAAUUGCCUUUAAGACUGCAUCGCUAGAAUUGUGGAGAGGUAAGUGGAAUUCCGAGUGUAGAGGUGAAAUUCGUAGAUAUUCGGAAGAACACCAGUGGCGAAGGCGACUUACUGGACACAUAUUGACGCUGAGGUGCGAAAGCGUGGGGAGCAAACAGG